GGGCAUUUGGGACAGUGGCAUCGCGCGCGCUUCCCUGCGUGAGGUCCAGGGUUCAAUCGCCCGCAUGUCUA